rnacentral:rRNA from 1 species
AUGUACUCGGUCGAGGAGGUGCUAUGGUACUUAUACUUCCAUCAUCCCAUUCUGUCCAUCAACAUGUUUCCCGUAGGAGAUGUAGAAGACCUGUCGGUAGGUCCAUGGGAGGGCGCGCCGGUGGCCGCCGAUACCCCGGCGCCAGAAAUGAGCCCUAGCAACAUGCUGAUGCUGAUCCACGCAGACAAAGGGUUGCAGAUCAACCUCCUAGCCAUGCUUAGUGCUGUGUUGAUCGGCUUCCAGGUGCUGUUGGGAUCUCGGCGCCGGCGCUCCCGCAACAAAAUCAUUGUGAACCUGCUGCGGGGUGCUUAUAUUGUCUCCUUCCCGGUGUUCGUCUACACCAUCGGCCUCGUCCAGUCCGUGGAGGCGCCCAAACAGCUUGACAGCCAACUGUUGUGGGCCGUUGGGCUUCUGCUCCUCCUCGGUAGCGUGGACGGCAUGUCGGCCUUCACCCGACAGGAGGUCGAGAAUAGCAAAGGUGUUCAGGCGGAGCACAUGAUCAAGACGGUUCUUGUGCUCUGGCUCCUCGUCAGCCGGAGCGACGUCUCCGAGGGCGGGUGGAUCUUGCUUCUCUACUUCCUCCUCUGCUGGGUGUAUAGCAUCUUGAGGGUCGCCCAGAGGAUGAAGGCGUUGCGCAAGGCCAGCUCGGCACAAGGUCUUGUGCGCAGCGCCAAGGUGGUGGCUGACUACAUGCAAGAUGUCUAUGCCUCUGAUGAUAGGAUUCAUAGCCCCAUGGACAUGGCUAAGUGCAAGUAUCUGGUCCUCGGCGAGGAAAAGGACUCCAGCCCACCGUCCAAGGCGCCCUCCUACCUCUCAGAGGUGGGCAGCAAGGGCAAGCUCGUCACGUUCGACAUGAUCUGGAACAGCAAGGGCAAGCUGCUGCCGAGUCCCACUCCUGACGAUAACCAGAAGCCUGUGCCUCUGAAAGAUACUUGUCUUUCCUUCGCCUUGUUCAAGUUGCUCAAGCGGCGCUUCUGCCCGGGGCUCCCCAUCGCUGAGGAGGGUGACCCGGAGGCGCUGAAAUUCGUCCUCGCCAAGGGCAAGCAUGCCUUCCAUCUCGUGGAGGUCGAGUUGUCGUUCCUGUACGACUUCUUCUACACCAAGUACCCGGCGCUCUUCCCCGCGGCCCCAGCUGCGCUACGCGUCCUUCGUUUCAUCGUCCUUAUUGUCUUGUUCAAGGUGCUCCUCUUGGAUUUUGUUUACGAGGGCAUCAUAUCGUACUCAAAUAUCCCAGCGGAAUUCCUUGAGAAUAACACGGGAUACUCCUCCAGUCACGCGGUUGUCUUCAUCCUCUUCAACAACAUUCUCGUCGUCUUCAUGAUUCUUAGCAUUGACAUCCUGCAAGACGUUGCCACGGGUUACUCAAACUGGGCCAUUGUACACUACGUGUGCGAUUACGUGAGAAGCAAGGGGAGGAUAGACAACAAGGGGUGGUGGAUGACGGCAAAGCGGUGGUGGAAACGGGGCUUCGGCAUUCGUCGAGCGCUGAUUAAAUGGGUGGCGGCACGCCGGGCAAAAAAUCCGGCACACUGGUGGAACAACAAGCUCGGCCAGUACUCGCUGCUCAACUCCUGCGGCUACACCGCGCACAAGACGAAUGCCUUCUCCCUGUUGACCCUACGCCUGCUGGAGAAGACAGGAGAAGGCCGGAAGCGCGGCAAGGAUAUCACCCUGUCAGACGAAAUCAAGGACGAGGUUCUCAGCUCCCUCGAGAAAAGUGGUGGCCGGCUGUCGGUCGACCGUUCAGGCGAUCUGAGGAACAAGGUGCUGCAGCUGGACUGGGCGCCUCUCGACCUCUCGAGGAGCACGCGCACGGUCCUCGUAUGGCACAUUGCCACCACCAUAUGCGUCGACCAGGACCAGGGCACCAACAACUCCGACCGCCGCGUUGCAACAACACUGUCCAACUACUGCGCCUACCUGCUUGCUUUCGUCCCGGACAUGCUGCCCGACCACAGCUACACGGCCACGCAGAUCCUAGACGCCGUUAUUCUAGAUGCCCGAAAGCGCCUCGACACAACCAAAAGUUCAUUGUCGGACAGAUGUAAAAUGAUGUUACAAUUGGGAAAGACACACAACAGCAAGAUGGAGCAAGACGUGUCCAUCUUGAUCCUUGGAGCCAGCCUGGCUGACAAGCUAUUGGCAGAGAACGAGCGGCCACCGUGGAAGCUGCUCGCGGCCUUCUGGGCCGACCUGGUGCUCUUCCUGGCGCCGUCCGAUAAGGCCGAUGUCCAUGCCGACCACCUAGCUACCGGCGGGGAGUUCAUGACCCACCUUUGGGCGCUGCUCACGCACGCGGGAAUUGUUCACCGUCCAGACAUCCGUGCUGCAUCACAUGUUUGA